rfam:Lupinus angustifolius cultivar Tanjil chromosome LG02, whole genome shotgun sequence.
AGGUGCGAUCAUACCAGCACUAAUGCACCGGAUCCCAUCAGAACUCCGCAGCUAAGCGUGAUUAGGCUAGAGUAGUACUAGGUUGGGUGACCUCCUGGGAAGUCCUCGUGUUGCACCUC